GGAGGUAUGGCUGAGUGGCUUAAGGCAUUGGUUUGCUAAAUCGACAUACAAAAGAGGAUUGGGUUCGAAUCCCAUUUCAUUUC
rnacentral:tRNA from 1 species